rnacentral:antisense_RNA from 1 species
CUUGAUCGAGCCGAGCAGCAGCGGCCGGUCGGCCGGACGGUCCCGCCCGUACGUGGCCAGCAGGGCCUGCGCCUC